GAGUCGUGGCCGCUCCCUUCGAGGCAGCAGCGUCCUGUGAGGCGAGUGGCGCGUUCAGCUAGGCCCGAGGGACGCCGCGGGGGGUUCAGUCAGCAACCUCGAUCUCGGAAAAGCCGAGCGAAGUUUCCAGACGGCGCCGGCCGGUUGCGGCCGGUUGGUGCGUCGGCCGGCGCGCUCAGGGGGGCUCAGAAGUCGCCCAAGCCAAAGCGGGCUUUAGCAGGCGGGCCUCGGAAGCGGGGACGACGGACCCGGUCCCACCGCACCCCGGAACAAACGGAAACAGUCGCUCCGAAUUGCCAGACACUCCGCUUUUGUAGCGGAUCCCGCAUUUCCAGAAGGAAAGCGUAGAAGUCAAAACAACACUGCAAACCUCCUGGAGAAGACACCUUCACGGACAGACAAACGGACAGACAAAACUGAACUUGAGGUUCCUCACAGUCCUCACUAUUUCUGAGCACUCACUAUACAACUGCCUAAACUCAGGGUUACUGCCGUGGCAGCUGCUGGGAUCCUGGAGAGAGUUCUUCUCACCACUGCAAUCUGUGCUUUGUAUCUGCCUUUGUAAACACGAGGAAUAGUGCAACCCUGCCAUGGACAGCAUGCCCUGAAUAGCUUCUUCCUCUGUGCUCGUCGAGAAAGAAAAAAAAAAAAAGGCAACUUUCAAACCUCAAGAGCAUUUAUGGACGGACCAUGGUUUCAAGCAGUUUAUUACCUGGGCUCUUAUCUGCCUUUCUCUUCUGCAAGCACCACUGCAUAGCAACUCUUCUAUCAGCUCUCAGUGAUACACUGCCUUGCCCUGACAUAAUAACUACCAACUACAGAGGACCAGAUUUACUGGGAAUUAGUGGAAACUAAGAAAUUAAAAAUGAAUUCGGUAAUAU
ensembl:antisense 4930599N23Rik RIKEN cDNA 4930599N23 gene